rnacentral:rRNA from 1 species
UACGGAGGUGGCAAGCGUUGUUCGGAAUUACUGGGCGUAAAGGGCGCGUAGGCGGCUUGGCAAGUCGGAUGUGAAAUCCCCGGGCUUAACUCGGGAAUUGCAUCCGAAACUGCUUUGCUUGAGUCCUGGAGGGGGUAGUGGAAUUCCCAGUGUAGCGGUGAAAUGCGUAGAUAUUGGGAGGAACACCGGUGGCGAAGGCGGCUACCUGGACAGUGACUGACGCUGAUGCGCGAAAGCUAGGGGAG